GAUGAAGAACGAAGCGAAAUGCGAUAAGUAAUGUGAAUUGCAGAAUUCAGUGAAUCAUCGAAUCUUUGAACGCACAUUGCGCCCGCCAGUAUUCUGGCGGGCAUGCCUGUCCGAGCGUCAUUUCAACCCUCGAGCCCCUCCGGGGGGUCGGCGUUGGGGAUCGGCCCCUCACCGGGCCGCCCCCGAAAUACAGUGGCGGUCUCGCCGCAGCCUCUCCUGCGCAGUAGUUUGCACACUCGCACCGGGAGCGCGGCGCGGCCACAGCCGUAAAACACCCCAAGCAUUCUGAAAUGUUGACCUCGGAUCAGGUAGGAAUACCCGCUGAACUUAAGCAUAUCAAUAAGCGGAGGA
rnacentral:misc_RNA from 1 species